CACGUAGGGCGCAAGCGUUGUCCGGAAUUAUUGGGCGUAAAGAGCUCGUAGGCGGUUUGUCGCGUCUGCCGUGAAAGUCCGGGGCUCAACUCCGGAUCUGCGGUGGGUACGGGCAGACUAGAGUGAUGUAGGGGAGACUGGAAUUCCUGGUGUAGCGGUGAAAUGCGCAGAUAUCAGGAGGAACACCGGUGGCGAAGGCGGGUCUCUGGGCCGAUACUGACGCUGAGGAGCGAAAGCGUGGGGAGCAAACAGG
rnacentral:rRNA from 1 species